GUACUGUAGACCUUCAAUAAUAAAACAAACAUUUGAUGCAAAGCUAACUAAGGAACAGUGAUCAUACAUACAUACAUAUGUGGAAUUCUGUAUGAUAAGUUAAGUCAAAAUCGCUUACCUCUCUCUCUCUGUCUUGUCAACAUUAGAAGGUUAAAAGAAUAUGACCCUCUGCAAGUGUAUACCUUACUCGUAAAAAGAAGGAAGCCGGCACACUUCUGAGCGAAUAUUUAGCAAAUUAUUUUCUAUACAUUUUUAAUGUGCAAGAACCCUUCCACAGUACCCUUUUGUUGCGGUGCACAACUUGGUGUAGCCAUAUACAAAGACUUUGCUAUACUUUUUGUGACUGUCCCGAGGCGGGAAAAAGUAACAAAGUCAACAGCAAACUGUGGAAAAUGCUGGAGAAAACAAGGAAAAUGGCUUCACACGAAAAAGUUGUGGUGAUUUUCACACUUGCGGCAAGCGAAGUAAGAAAAUAAUUACAAACUUCAGGACAGGAGAGCAACAAUAAAGUAUUAAAUUCAAAUUAUUUACUUCACUUUAUUUUCCACGGCAGCACAAAAGCGCCACUGAGGAACGGCACCAAGAAACCAGAAGAAGUAAAAGGCAGAAAUAUACGAAGCCAAAAGCUACUUCUCCAAGUCAUUUUAAUUUAAGUUGUGCAACAUUUCAACACUUUAUCAAAUAAAUUCAGGAUGGCCCAAGGUAGUGAAAGAAGUGCAAAGACCAUGGAGUUAGUUUUACAGAGACAGAGAAAGUAAAGGAAGUUCGCUGAAAUUUUUAAAGUUUCAACUAUGCAAAUGGCCUGAACAUAUUUUGCAUUUUGUUAAUAAAUUGUAAAUUCAAAUUAGCAAUUGUCACUGGCCUAUGGCAGCGUACAGAAAUUUCGAUGCUUAAGACUCUCC
rnacentral:lncRNA from 1 species